AACGCUGGCGGCAGGCUUAACACAUGCAAGUCGAGCGGGGGAGAUUGCUUCGGUGAUUGACCUAGCGGCGGACGGGUGAGUAAUACUUAGGAAUCUGCCUAUUAAUGGGGGACAACAUCUCGAAAGGGAUGCUAAUACCGCAUACGCCCUACGGGGGAAAGCAGGGGAUCACUUGUGACCUUGCGUUAAUAGAUGAGCCUAAGUCGGAUUAGCUAGUUGGUGGGGUAAAGGCCUACCAAGGCGACGAUCUGUAGCGGGUCUGAGAGGAUGAUCCGCCACACUGGGACUGAGACACGGCCCAGACUCCUACGGGAGGCAGCAGUGGGGAAUAUUGGACAAUGGGGGGAACCCUGAUCCAGCCAUGCCGCGUGUGUGAAGAAGGCCUUAUGGUUGUAAAGCACUUUAAGCGAGGAGGAGGCUCUCUUGGUUAAUACCCAAGAUGAGUGGACGUUACUCGCAGAAUAAGCACCGGCUAACUCUGUGCCAGCAGCCGCGGUAAUACAGAGGGUGCGAGCGUUAAUCGGAUUUACUGGGCGUAAAGCGUGCGUAGGCGGCUUUUUAAGUCGGAUGUGAAAUCCCCGAGCUUAACUUGGGAAUUGCAUUCGAUACUGGGAAGCUAGAGUAUGGGAGAGGAUGGUAGAAUUCCAGGUGUAGCGGUGAAAUGCGUAGAGAUCUGGAGGAAUACCGAUGGCGAAGGCAGCCAUCUGGCCUAAUACUGACGCUGAGGUACGAAAGCAUGGGGAGCAAACAGGAUUAGAUACCCUGGUAGUCCAUGCCGUAAACGAUGUCUACUAGCCGUUGGGGCCUUUGAGGCUUUAGUGGCGCAGCUAACGCGAUA
rnacentral:rRNA from 1 species